rnacentral:misc_RNA from 1 species
GGAAGUAAAAGUCGUAACAAGAUUUCCGUAGGUGAACCUGCGGAAGGAUCAUUACUGAGUGAGGGCCCCUCGGGGUCCAACCUCCCACCCGUGUUUAACGAACCUUGUUGCUUCGGCGGGCCCGCCUCACGGCCGCCGGGGGGCAUCUGCCCCCGGGCCCGCGCCCGCCGAAGCCACCUGUGAACGCUGUCUGAAGUAUGCAGUCUGAGACAAUUAUUAAAUUAAUUAAAACUUUCAACAACGGACCUCUUGGUUCCG